rnacentral:rRNA from 1 species
AUGGACCAAUCCAUCCCUUUUUCCCGUGCAUAUGCAUCGGACUCGGAUGACGAUGGUCCCGAUGAACAAGUUGAUGUGGAGGGGUUCACGGUGAAGGAGACCGAAGCUUUUGAGAAGGUAUUUCGUCGGGAUCAUCGGACUACAUUGUUCAAGGAUGUUCUCGCGGAUGAAGCCGUGGUAGAUGGUGGCCAAUGUGCACCUCUUGGGGUUAGGCCAAGCUCUCACCGUGAUUUGGGAGACGACAGGAACCGGAUUGCUAAAGGUUCUAAGUUCGACACCUUGUUGGAAUUGAAAAUGUGGCUCGACAACUACUCGGUUACGCAUUAUCGUCCACACAAGGUGGUGCACUCGACGUCAAUGUGCGCUACACGGUUGCAUGUGCAUGUGAAGAUGAAAUAUGUCCGUGGAUUGUGCGUGCAAGACCAUGGAAAGGAGGUCCAAGUUGGCAUGUAG